GACGAACGCUGGCGGCGUGCUUAACACAUGCAAGUCGAACGGAAAGGCCCUGCUUUUGUGGGGUGCUCGAGUGGCGAACGGGGGAGUAACACGUGAGUAACCUGCCCUUGACUUUGGGAUAACUUAAGGAAACUGGGGCUAAUACCGGAUAGGAGCUCUUGCUGCAUGGUGGGGGUUGGAAAGUUUCGGCGGUUGGGGAUGGACUCGCGGCUUAUCAGCUUGUUGGUGGGGUAGUGGCUUACCAAGGCUUUGAGGGGUAGCCGGCCUGAGAGGGUGACCGGCCACCUUGGGCCUGAGAUACGGCCCAGACCCCUACCGGAGGCAACGGUGGGGAAUAUUGCACAAUGGGCGGGAGCCUGAUGCAGCAACGCCGCGUGCGGGAUGACGGCCUUCGGGUUGUAAACCACUUUCGCCUGUGACGGAGCGUGAGUGACGGUAAUGGGUAAAGAAGCACCGGCUAACUACGUG
rnacentral:rRNA from 1 species